UGUAUGCUUGCAGUUGUACAUUACAGUAGCGGUAGUUGUGUUUUCGUAUAUAUAUCUCAUUCGUUCAUUAUCGUUGCUACUGUAUUUUACUUACCCAUACUGUUGUUUAUCUCUUCCUGAUCCGGUGAGUACUCCUCGCCUUCUUCGGCUUGCGGUACCCACUGGGAGGGGAGACAUGUUUACAUGUUCUCACCUCCCCCACUAUUUUUCAGGUAUUGCAGACGUUGAGCUUUGGGACGAGCCGUGAGGUACGUUCGUAGCGGUCGAUAGAGCUUCCGACCCAGAUUAUCGGUUUAGUUUUAUCCCUACUAUUCUGUUGUUAUAGCUUAGUCAGUUUAUAUGGUUCAGUAUUUUUAUUACAUUGGAAUAUGUGGACUUUCAUGAAUGUAAUAAAAGAAUUUCUGGAUUUGGUAAAAUAAAAGGUUUUCUACCCCUCGUGGUAGCUUUUAUAAAAGAUAAAAGUUUUCGCGUAUGAAACAGUUUUCAAAAGAUUUUUCGUGGACUUUUGUUUAAACAUCGAAUGUAAAACUACGGUGUGAAUGGUGAAUGUAUGAAUGUAUAGCUAUCUGUAUAUUCAUUUAAUUGUGGUUGUAUACUGUUUAUACUUUUGUACUUGUGUGACGCCGUGCAAGUACAGGGGAGACUCUGUCCGUGUGAACAGUGGAUUCCCUAUAUUUGUGGCGGAUCUGGCAUACUCUGGGGUCAGGUUUU
rnacentral:lncRNA from 1 species